UACGAAGGGUGCUAGCGUUGUUCGGAAUUACUGGGCGUAAAGCGCACGUAGGCGGCUACUUAAGUCAGGGGUGAAAUCCCGGGGCUCAACCCCGGAACUGCCUUUGAUACUGGGUAUCUCGAGUCCGGAAGAGGUGAGUGGAAUUCCGAGUGUAGAGGUGAAAUUCGUAGAUAUUCGGAGGAACACCAGUGGCGAAGGCGGCUCACUGGGCCGGUACUGACGCUGAGGUGCGAAAGCGUGGGGAGCAAACAGG
rnacentral:rRNA from 1 species